rnacentral:lncRNA from 1 species
AAUGAGUGUAUGUUCAGAAAUCUCCAAACUUGGCAAGUGUUUCAGCUCAGCCAAAAAUGUGAAGAGGUCAGUGAUCAGAUUGUUCCUCUUAUUCUCCUGAUGACAUUUCACAUCUCUGAUGGUGUGGACGUGAUUCAUGUGAUAUUCUAGCAAACAUACCAUUGACAUAAACACUCCACAACUGCAAGAGCUGCCUGAGAAUAAGGUAAGGAAUCAAUUGUAUGUUUAGUGUUUAGGUUCUGUUGUUUCUGUGCUCUCUCUUCUAACCUCACGUGUUCCUCCUUUUUCUGUGUGUGUUUUCAGGGGAGCAGAAGUGAUGGAGCUGGUGCUGUUUGAAAACAUGCAGAAGUGAGGUCAAUCAUGUUGGCAGAAAACAUGGUCCUGUCUAAUCUGCGCAAUGGAUGUAUUCUGUCAAGGAGGAAUUUCUGGACAGGGGUGAGAACAGCACAGUGAAGGACACUCGCCCUUCGUCUGACUGGAUUCCCAGUGUUUCCACGUGUUGCCCAUUUCCCCUCCACACCUUCAAUAGGUUGUGUGCCCCCCCCCCUUGUCUUGUACCACUGUGUUGGCCAUUCAUUUCCCACACCAGCGUUAUGUCUGUGCUGCAGUCCUGGAUGCCUUGUGUCAGCUGUUGUUCCUGGAUGGAGUGAAUUUCAGUUGGAAUGUCUGUAACUCAGUUUGGCCUUUUUCUGUAGCCGUUGUGUUUCCUGUGUCGGAGUGACCUUUGUUUAGUGGACUUUGAACCUGGUGACAUCCCUGUAAUACUCCAAUGUCAUUGCCCCAUUUGUUUAAUGUGGACAACAUUGCUGUGAGUUCUGUCAAAGUUCUAA